UAGAAGAGUUGUUGGUGGUUGGCUCUGACU
rnacentral:piRNA from 1 species